ACCUAUAUUUGGGACAGCUCUC
rnacentral:miRNA from 8 species